rnacentral:rRNA from 1 species
UACGUAGGGCGCAAGCGUUGUCCGGAAUCAUUGGGCGUAAAGAGCUCGUAGGCGGCCUGUUGCGUCCGCUGUGAAAUCCCGGGGCUUAACCCCGGGCGUGCAGUGGAUACGGGCUGGCUGGAGGCAGGCAGGGGAGAACGGAAUUCCCGGUGUAGCGGUGAAAUGCGCAGAUAUCGGGAGGAACACCGGUGGCAAAGGCGGUUCUCUGGGCCUGUACUGACGCUGAGGAGCGAAAGCGUGGGGAGCAAACAGG